rnacentral:rRNA from 1 species
UAGUCCACGCCGUAAACGAUGUCAACUAGAUGUAGGGGGUGUUGAUCCCCUCUGUGUCGCAGCUAACGCAUUAAGUUCUCCGCCUGGGGAGUACGGUGGCAACACUAAAACUCAAAGGAAUUGACGGGGACCCGCACAAGCGGUGGAGCAUGUGGUUUAAUUCGAUGCAACGCGAAGAACCUUACCUGCCCUUGACAUUGACAGAAUCCCGUAGAGAUAUGGGAGUGCUUCGGCCUGGAAAACAGGUGCUGCAUGGCUGUCGUCAGCUCGUGUCGUGAGAUGUUGGGUUAAGUCCCGCAACGAGCGCAACCCUCGCCCUUAGUUGCCAGCAUUCAGUUGGGCACUCUAGGGGAACCNCCGGUGAUAAGCCGGAGGAAGGUGGGGAUGACGUCAAGUCCUCAUGGCCCUUACGGGGAUGGGGCUACACACGUGCUACAAUGGCAGUGACAA